ensembl:rRNA 5S_rRNA 5S ribosomal RNA
CCUAAUGGCCACACCAGUGUGAAUGCGCCCGAUCUUGUCUGAUCUCGGAAGCUAAACACACUUGGACUCGAUCAGUACUUGCAUGGGAGUCCGCCUGGGAACACCGAGUGCUGUAAGCU